AAUUUAGCUCAGUUGGUUAGAGCGACGGAUUGUGGUUCCGUAGGUCGUGGGUUCGAGACCCACAUU
rnacentral:tRNA from 1 species